rnacentral:tRNA from 1 species
CAGAAAAUAGUUUAAUAAAAAUAUUAAUUUUGGAGAUUAAUGAUAGAAUAAGUAUUUUUUUUCUGA